AGUGAACGCUGGCGGUAGGCCUAACACAUGCAAGUCGAACGGCAGCACAGUAAGAGCUUGCUCUUACGGGUGGCGAGUGGCGGACGGGUGAGGAAUACAUCGGAAUCUACUUUUUCGUGGGGGAUAACGUAGGGAAACUUACGCUAAUACCGCAUACGACCUACGGGUGAAAGCAGGGGAUCUUCGGACCUUGCGCGAUUGAAUGAGCCAAUGUCGGAUUAGCUAGUUGGCGGGGGAAAGGGCCACCAAGGCGACGAUCGGUAGCGGGUCUGAGAGGAUGAUCAGCCACACUGGAAGUGAGACACGGUCCAGACUCCUAGGGGAGGCCGCAGUGGGGAAUAUUGGGCAAUGGGGGCAAGCCGGAUCCAGCCAUACUGCGUGGGUGAAGAAGGAGUUCGGGUUGGAAAGCCCUUUUGUUGGGAAAGAAAAGCAGCAGGUUAAUACCCGGCUGUUCUGACGGUACCCGAAGAAUAAGCACCGGCUAACUUCGUG
rnacentral:rRNA from 1 species